AGUGGCGGACGGGUGAGUAACGCGUGAGAAUCUGCCUUGGGGUCGGGGACAACCACUGGAAACGGUGGCUAAUACCGGAUAAGCCGAUUGGUGAAAGAUUUAUUGCCCGAAGAGGAGCUCGCGUCUGAUUAGCUAGUUGGUGAGGUAAGAGCUCACCAAGGCAGCGAUCAGUAGCUGGUCUGAGAGGACGAUCAGCCACACUGGGACUGAGACACGGCCCAGACUCCUACGGGAGGCAGCAGUGGGGAAUUUUCCGCAAUGGGCGAAAGCCUGACGGAGCAAGACCGCGUGAGGGAGGAAGGCUCUUGGGUUGUAAACCUCUUUUCUCAGGGAAGAAGCUCUGACGGUACCUGAGGAAUCAGCCUCGGCUAACUCCGUGCCAGCAGCCGCGGUAAUACGGCGGAGGCAAGCGUUAUCCGGAAUUAUUGGGCGUAAAGCGUCCGCAGGUGGCGAUUCAAGUCUGCUGUCAAAGCACGGGGCUUAACUCCGUAAAGGCAGUGGAAACUGAAUAGCUAGAGUGCCGUAGGGGUAGAGGGAAUUCCCGGUGUAGCGGUGAAAUGCGUAGAGAUCGGGAAGAACAUCGGUGGCGAAAGCGCUCUACUGGACGGCAACUGACACUCAGGGACGAAAGCUAGGGGAGCGAAUGGGAUUAGAUACCCC
rnacentral:rRNA from 1 species